UUUCCAUCAAUUUUUUAUCUUUUUCUUAAUUUCUUUUGAGAGAUUUGAGGUGUGGAUUGAGAAAAUUUUUUUUUCUCUAGAAUUACAAGAGGGGAGGAUGAGAGAGGGCCUAGGAGAGGGGAAGGCUGAGAGAUACAUAAUUACCAUGAUCUAUGACUUUUUGAUGAAUUCCAUGAAAGUAGUCAGGAUAGCUCAAUUAGAGACAUGAGGAUUAGUAGAUAGGGAAGAUGCAAGGGAGCGAAGAGUGGGCCAUGGAGGAGCUAAGAUGUGACAUGAGAGAAAGGUGGAGAGAGAGAGAGAGAGAGAGAUUUGGGCACAAAGUAAGUUAUUUUGGAAUAUCUUUUUUGUUUCAUGAUUUUAGUUAUUUUUAUGCAAGAGAGGAGAGGGAGAGUGCAUGUAGUAAUUAAAUGUGAGAGAACAAUUUGGAUAAUCAACAUAAUUUUAAGUGAGAGAAAUGAUUUUGAAAAA
rnacentral:lncRNA from 1 species